GUGCCAGCCGCCGCGGUAAAACGUAGGAGACAAACGUUAUCCGGAGUUACUGGGCGUAAAGGGCGUGUAGGUGGUAAUGUAAGUCUGGCGUGAAAUUUUUCGGCUUAACCGGGAAAGGUCGUCGGAGACUGCAUAACUAGAGGACGGUAGAGGCGUGUGGAAUUCCGGGUGUAGUGGUGAAAUGCGUAGAGAUCCGGAGGAACACCAGUGGCGAAGGCGACACGCUGGGCCGUACCUGACACUGAGGCGCGAUAGCAUGGGGAGCAAACAGGAUUAGAAACCCUGGUAGUCC
rnacentral:rRNA from 1 species